rnacentral:lncRNA from 1 species
GACGACAGGAGAAGGGGAAACACUGAGAGUCGUCGCCCCUGAAGUUUGACUGGAGAUGACGUGGAUCUCCCGUGCGCCCUUCUUUGCCAGCUUUUUUACCCGCUUGGCAGGCGGUGGAGGUUCGACAGCCUGUUCGGCCUCUUGGCGAUGCCGUUUGGGCAGCACAGUCCGACCAGCGGUUUUAUCCUUCUUGGCCACGACCGAUUUUUUCUCGGCCGUAGCAGCGGCAACUGCC